rnacentral:miRNA from 1 species
UAGGGUGACCAAUCAUUCUAGUUUGCCUGGGACUGAGGGGUCUCCUGGACAAACUGGGAUGAAUUGA